rnacentral:rRNA from 1 species
GACGAACGCUGGCGGCGUGCUUAACACAUGCAAGUCGAACGGAAAGGCCCUGCUUGCAGGGUACUCGAGUGGCGAACGGGUGAGUAACACGUGGGUGAUCUGCCCUGCACUUCGGGAUAAGCCUGGGAAACUGGGUCUAAUACCGGAUAGGAGCCAUUUUUAGUGUGAUGGUUGGAAAGUUUUUUCGGUGUAGGAUGAGCUCGCGGCCUAUCAGCUUGUUGGUGGGGUAAUGGCCUACCAAGGCGGCGACGGGUAGCCGGCCUGAGAGGGUGGACGGCCACAUUGGGACUGAGAUACGGCCCAGACUCCUACGGGAGGCAGCAGUGGGGAAUAUUGCACAAUGGGCGCAAGCGUGAUGCAGCGACGCCGCGUGGGGGAUGACGGCCUUCGGGUUGUAAACUCCUUUCGCUAGGGACGAAGCUUUUUGUGACGGUACCUAGAUAAGAAGCACCGGCUAACUACGUG